rnacentral:rRNA from 1 species
UACGAAGGGGGCUAGCGUUGCUCGGAAUCACUGGGCGUAAAGCGCACGUAGGCGGGUCUUUAAGUCAGGGGUGAAAUCCUGGAGCUCAACUCCAGAACUGCCUUUGAUACUGAGGAUCUUGAGACCGGGAGAGGUGAGUGGAAUUCCCAGUGUAGCGGUGAAAUGCGUAGAGAUCAGGCGGAACACCCGUGGCGAAGGCGGCCAGCUGGGCCGUCCCUGACGCUGAGGCGCGAAAGCUAGGGGAGCAAACGGGG